GUGUGUAUCUGGUGAGGGCUAGGGGCUGGGGAGACCCUGCAAAGAAAGCUCUGGGUCCGGAUCUGGAAACGGGCGCACCUCCUAAAUUGAGUCCUCAAAACGUUUAGGACACGAUCGUUCCGCCCCUGGGAGCGGUUCUUGGGCGGGCUGGGGCGUUCCUGCAAGAGGAACCCGGAGCUCGGGAAACCUAGUAGUAAGAAAAAGCAACCAAGGAUAUUAUUUUGGUAUCUGGAGUUGAAUUUGCCAGGAAUGCAAGCACAGCUUCCUCAGUAAAGACUUGGUUUUGGAAACAUCUCACUCCUUGGCGGCUCUCCAGAGUUCAGACUUGGCAGCAUCGAGGACACAACGCAAGGCUGUUUGCCCAAAAUGGGUUGAUAGGGAAGCUUGGGAACCCAAGACAUCGACACUUCAUAUGAAAGUAUUUCCAUGAUCACUGCAGCAGUGGGAAGACUGGCUUUUUAUGUGUUGACUUUUAGAGUCUGAUUGGUCAAAGCAAAUUGCUUAAUUUCAAAUGGGAAACUGUGAAAUACAAUAUUGCCUUCUACUCAGAGGGGAAGGAAAAUUAGAUUAAAGUCAAAUUAAUGAUUGUCAUACCCUUCUUCUCUUUUUAGGAAGAGUAUAACAUAUCCUAAUAAAGAAUAUUUCAAAGCAUUUUCAGAGAAAGGAAGAGCAUGAGCAAAGACAGUAAGGUAUUAUGUAGGAUAAUAAUUUCAGCAAACUGUGUUUAAUUCGAAAUAGUUGGAUCACAGUAUGUGUGUGGGAUAAAGACAGGUUAAAAAGAUUGGAGACAAUAUAGGUCAGAUUAUACCAAAAUAUGAAGUAAGAAUUACAUCUUAAAGGAUAUGGAGAAAUAUUCAAUGACAACAUACUUUAGGGGAAUGAAGUAAAUUCAAAUCAUAAAAGGUUGUCCUGUUAAGUGCCAUGGGGAUAGAUUUGUGGGAAAGAAGACUGAAGAUAGUAAAAAUCAAUUGUGAUACAAAGUCAGUAUUUCAAGUGAGUUCCCAGGUGGAGGCACUGACAGGGCAUAUAGAAGGCACGUUUUGGAGGUAAUCUCUUGUGCACAGGGGAAGCCUUGGCAAAAGACAGAAUACUUCUUACCCUGAAAUCAAAGUAGAAGUACUGAUGCAAACAGGGUUCAAGCUAGGGCUAUGUGUAGAUUUGUGUGUUGGUGUCUGUGAGAGGCUUAGAGCAAGCUUGCAAAUUGACUGACUCUUACCUGAUGAUCUGUAUUUUCUUUCUGAGUUAGGAAAUGAACCCAAGUGCCCAGACUAAAAUGAAUAUGAAUGUGGGCUUUGAGGAGGUCUGUAUGAAUUGAGAUGGCUGGAGUCAAGUGGGAGACAUAGCAGAUUUGGGGCACAGGGAUUGCUGGAAAUUUUUAGCAUUUAUAAAAUACUGACUACACAUUUUACUGCAAAAGUUGCUUUGGGAAACUCAGUUGCUUUUUUCUUUAAAUUGUUUAUAACUCAGCAAUGAUUUGAAAAUAUAUACCUUAGGUAUAGAUUUAACAGGUAUGUAGAAUUUUGAAAAAAACAAUGUGCAUGUGGUUUUUAUUAGGGGAGCCCUGGAUAAAAUUUUGGGUUAGUGUAAUAAGAAAACCCCAAUCAUUUCAUCAUAGGGGAAAAAUUUUAAAACUAUUUAAGUAAUUAUCUAAUACUUUAAUGCAGAUUUUUUGUACUAGCUGUUUUUUAAGGACUUUUUUAGAGCAAUUUAAGUUCAGAGCAAAACGAAGAGGAAGGUAUAGCAAUAUCCCAUAUAACUCAUAUCCCAAUACAUGCAUACUUUGCUUAUUAGCAACAUUCCCUAUCAGAGUCAUAUUUGUUACAGCUGAUGAACCUGCAUUGAUACAGCAGCACCCAAAAUCAAUAGCUUGGUUUGCUUUUGCUCUUGUACAUUCUUUUUGGACAAAUGUAUAAUGACAUGUAUCUACCAUUGUAGUAUUAUACAGAGGGAAACUUCUGUGUUCUGCCUAUGAUUUCUGGUUCAUAUGGUAAGAGUAUGGUUAUUUUUGUAAGAAAAUGCCAAAUUACCUUCAAAAUGGCUAUGUUGGUUUGCAUUCCCACCAGCAAAGAAUUAGAGUUUCCU